ensembl:lincRNA Gm12354 predicted gene 12354
AACUGCCGAUUUCCAGACAACACAGAUGGGAGUUGCUCCGAAGAACCUUUCUAAACAGAAGUGUUUCGUAUGCAGUCCCUCUAACCAAGGACUGUGAGAAUCAUCACAGUGGGACUGCAGUGUACGCCCUUGGCCCACUUCACAGGCUUUGUUUAUUUGGGAAUACCAUUUCCUUUCUUUGAUCCUCUCUUUGGUUAAUUUCUUUAUGGAGCUGGGCUUCUGUUCCUGGAUGAUUUCCAGGUAACCUGAGAAUUCAGAGCUGCAGUAGUGCCAUUUGUCUCGAGCCUGGCCAGAUGUUGACACUUCCAGACCUCUAGUCAUCAGUGAAUAAAGUUCCAGGCCUCUAAGUUCAAACAUCUUUUCCCACAUGCCAAGCCUCUGGGGAUGGUGGCUCAUGAUCCUGUGGUGUAAAUGGUAGCCAUAGGUAUGUUAAGAGGGGGGUUUUUCUUAGACAGCAGGCAGGGUUAGAAAUGAGGCAAUGAUUGACAUACAGUGAAAUUACAAAGGCUUGGUAAAGCUAUGAAA